CUUUACUGUAGCCUGUAAUUGAAUCCGGGCUGAACUUGCGCAGGAUAGGUGGGAGGCAUUGAAGUUACCCUUGUGGGGGUAAUGGAGCCAACGGUGAGAUACCACUCUGGUGCAGCUAGGAUUCUAACUUGGAGCCGUUAGCCGGCACAAGAACCGUUGCAGGUGGGCAGUUUGACUGGGGCGGUCGCCUCCUAAAUGGUAACGGAGGCGCGCAAAGGUUCCCUCAGCACGCUUGGAAACCGUGCAUAGAGUGUAAAGGCAUAAAGGGAGCUUGACUGCAAGAGUCACAACUCAAGCAGGGACGAAAGUCGGCCUUAGUGAUCCGACGGCACUGCGUGGAAGGGCCGUCGCUCAACGGAUAAAAGUUA
rnacentral:rRNA from 1 species